ACAUGCAAGUCGAGCGGACAGAAGGGAGCUUGCUCCCGGAUGUUAGCGGCGGACGGGUGAGUAACACGUGGGUAACCUGCCUGUAAGACUGGGAUAACUCCGGGAAACCGGAGCUAAUACCGGAUAGUUCCUUGAACCGCAUGGUUCAAGGAUGAAAGACGGUUUCGGCUGUCACUUACAGAUGGACCCGCGGCGCAUUAGCUAGUUGGUGGGGUAAUGGCUCACCAAGGCGACGAUGCGUAGCCGACCUGAGAGGGUGAUCGGCCACACUGGGACUGAGACACGGCCCAGACUCCUACGGGAGGCAGCAGUAGGGAAUCUUCCGCAAUGGACGAAAGUCUGACGGAGCAACGCCGCGUGAGUGAUGAAGGUUUUCGGAUCGUAAAGCUCUGUUGUUAGGGAAGAACAAGUGCGAGAGUAACUGCUCGCACCUUGACGGUACCUAACCAGAAAGCCACGGCUAACUACGUGCCAGCAGCCGCGGUAAUACGUAGGUGGCAAGCGUUGUCCGGAAUUAUUGGGCGUAAAGGGCUCGCAGGCGGUUUCUUAAGUCUGAUGUGAAAGCCCCCGGCUCAACCGGGGAGGGUCAUUGGAAACUGGGAAACUUGAGUGCAGAAGAGGAGAGUGGAAUUCCACGUGUAGCGGUGAAAUGCGUAGAGAUGUGGAGGAACACCAGUGGCGAAGGCGACUCUCUGGUCUGUAACUGACGCUGAGGAGCGAAAGCGUGGGGAGCGAACAGGAUUAGAUACCCUGGUAGUCCACGCCGUAAACGAUGAGUGCUAAGUGUUAGGGGGUUUCCGCCCCUUAGUGCUGCAGCUAACGCAUUAAGCACUCCGCCUGGGGAGUACGGUCGCAAGACUGAAACUCAAAGGAAUUGACGGGGGCCCGCACAAGCGGUGGAGCAUGUGGUUUAAUUCGAAGCAACGCGAAGAACCUUACCAGGUCUUGACAUCCUCUGACAACCCUAGAGAUAGGGCUUUCCCUUCGGGGACAGAGUGACAGGUGGUGCAUGGUUGUCGUCAGCUCGUGUCGUGAGAUGUUGGGUUAAGUCCCGCAACGAGCGCAACCCUUGAUCUUAGUUGCCAGCAUUUAGUUGGGCACUCUAAGGUGACUGCCGGUGAAACCGGAGGAAGGUGGGGAUGACGUCAAUCA
rnacentral:rRNA from 1 species